GGGUUCCGCUCUGUCUCAGUGUUGGAAGCCACUUCCUCACUCACUGGAACAUGAAGUGAACCAAGAGCCGCCUUAAACAUUCACUUUCUCUGAUCGAAACAAAAAAAAAAAAAAAAGAGAGAGAAGAAAUCAUGCUUCUCAGGAGCUCUUCCACCCCCAUAAUGAAGUCAUGGCCUCCCCCAUACGCCAAGGACUCCUCGCCCGAGCACGACCUUCACCUCCCGAACCUCACGCGGACCCGAUCGGUCUCCCUGACCUCGUCGCCAUCACUGUCGCCAUCGCCCUUCCACUCUCCUACUCCCUCUGAGGAGUCGCCAUCUUCCAGUAAAAGCUCGAACAAGUCGAUAAAGAAGAACCCCCACCAACUUCCUCAGAGUCCCGGAAAACCCGCCGGAUCAUUGGGUAAGGAUGCCGAGGAACCGGCUGAGCUGAAGCUUGAUGAUCCGAUAAAGAGACUGCUCUCGAGUUCCGGACUUGGUGGGGUGGAUGAUGAAGAGGGCUGCGACCGGGCAAGGGAGGAUGGCAGGCCGCAGACUCUGGUGGUUGGAGGUUCCCAUGGGAAUGGUGGGGUUGGUGGGAUUUGUGGCGGCGGCGGGCGAGGGUCGGGCAGUGGAGGUGAUGGCGGUGGUGGCGAUGGAGGGUUUGGGUUUUCGGGGAGUGACAGGGGCCCAGGGAGUGAUAGCACCGACGCGUAUUACCGGAAGAUGAUCGAAGCUGACCCCAACAACGCGCUUUUGCUCGGGAACUAUGCCAAGUUCUUGAAAGAGGUUAGGGGAGAUCUUGACAAAGCCGAGGAGUACUGUGGCAGGGCGAUUCUUGCCAACCCGAACGAUGCUAAUGUGCUCUCUCUCUAUGCUGAUCUUAUAUGGCAGACGCAGAAGGACCCUCACAGAGCCGAAAGUUACUAUGAUCGAGCGGUUAAAACUGCUCCUGAUGAUUGGUAAAGAUUGGCCUCAAACCCACCUGCCUAUCGUCUUGGCUGUUCCUACCAUAACCAGACUACGUGCUUGGAUCAUAUGCCAAAUUCCUCUGGGAUGUCGAUGAAGAUGAAGAGGAAGAGGAAGAGCAGAAUUCAAGGGAUUAUCGGCAUGACCACCGGAGCCCUCAUGCUCCGCCAAAUUUUGUCCAAGGAUCUCCCCACCACCCGAUCACAGCUGCUUCUUAAAUAUAAUACCCGUUACGGCCCGUACCGAAUACGUGGAACUAAGUUUUAUAUGCUAGCCGAGCUAAUAGUAACACCGUAGGGGUAAAAAACAGAGGAUAGGAACUUCCCUGUCUUUGUAGUUUUGGCUUCUGACAGGAACUUUGCCCUAAUGUAUAUCUAUAUCUAUCUACCUCGGAAUAAUGGAAGGGAAGCCAUACUUUCAUCCUGUACAGCUUCAACUUGGCAAAUAUUGUUCAAACUAGUGAUAUGAGCACAACCAAAACAAAA